UGCCUCGUUAGCUCAGUUGGUAGAGCUGCCGACUCUUAAUCGGUAGGUCACAGGUUCAAGUCCUGUACGGGGUACCCA
rnacentral:tRNA from 14 species